UAAUCUUUCUCUCUCUCUAGACUCUUUCUCUCUUCUUUCUAAAAAGCUGCUGCCUCCCAUCUCCGACUGUCGCCCAUCGCAUCUCCAAAUCUGGCGGACCAAGCUACCGCCUCACGAUGAACGGCCACCGCUCCAAGCGGCGGACCACGCCCUAAUCAAUACCGCCGACAAUAACACCAGCGCCGCCACGCGGCCAGUGACUAAACCCUACCAUCUCCAGCCACCGUCCAAUUAGAGAUCUCCUCCAGCCGCCACCUUUUAUGCCGUAGCCAUCGCAGAAUCAUGCUGGUGGAGCAACCAACCGCUCCAACCUGCCCCACAAGCCUCAGCCGCCACUUUUUUCUUCCCCUCCAGCGAACCAGCUCCAGUGCCGCUCCAACUUCGCCUCUCUUAACACUUUCGCCGAUGAAAUAAUCACCACAACAACCGAUGCUGACUACCAAUGCUAUUCCCGAGCAAGUGCCCUCAAAAAUUUUCAAUACACGAUGGAUUCACGGAAUUCAUCUCGGGUAUAAAAGUGAUUUGAAUGAAGACUAAUUGCAAGUUCAACACGUUAUUGGUAUUUUGAAAGAAACCUCUACAUAUCUGCCGUAGUUUAGGAUAGGAGUAAUAUUUAGUAUUAUAUUUAAGUUAGAUUUACUUUAUGUUGGACUUGUUUUACUUUUCUUUGCCCUGUGAGGAGAUAUUACCUUAGUAUAAUUUUAGUUUUUUUA